rnacentral:rRNA from 1 species
GGGACGAACGCUGGCGGCGUGCUUAACACAUGCAAGUCGAGCGGUAAGGCCUUUCGGGGUACACGAGCGGCGAACGGGUGAGUAACACGUGGGUGAUCUGCCCUGCACUCUGGGAUAAGCCUGGGAAACUGGGUCUAAUACCGGAUAUGACCUGCUCUCGCAUGGGGGUGGGUGGAAGGAUUUAUCGCCCAGGGAUGAGCCCGCGUAGGAUUAGCUAGUUGGUGAGGUAAAGGCUCACCAAGGCGACGAUCCUUAGCUGGUCUGAGAGGAUGAUCAGCCACACUGGGACUGAGACACGGCCCAGACUCCUACGGGAGCAGCAGUAGGGAAUAUUGGACAAGUGGG